GUCGAGCGGCGGACGGGUGAGUAAUGCAUAGGAAUCUGCCCGGUAGUGGGGGAUAACCUGGGGAAACCCAGGCUAAUACCGCAUACGCCCUACGGGGGAAAGCAGGGGAUCUUCGGACCUUGCGCUAUCGGAUGAGCCUAUGUCGGAUUAGCUUGUUGGUGAGGUAAUGGCUCACCAAGGCGACGAUCCGUAGCUGGNCUGAGAGGAUGAUCAGCCACAUCGGGACUGAGACACGGCCCGAACUCCUACGGGAGGCAGCAGUGGGGAAUAUUGGACAAUGGGCGAAAGCCUGAUCCAGCCAUGCCGCGUGUGUGAAGAAGGCUUUCGGGUUGUAAAGCACUUUCAGUGAGGAAGAACGCCUUGGGCUUAAUACGCCCGAGGAAAGACAUCACUCACAGAAGAAGCACCGGCUAACUCCGUGCCAGCAGCCGCGGUAAUACGGAGGGUGCGAGCGUUAAUCGGAAUUACUGGGCGUAAAGCGCGCGUAGGUGGCUUGAUAAGCCGGUUGUGAAAGCCCCGGGCUCAACCUGGGAACGGCAUCCGGAACUGUCAGGCUAGAGUGCAGGAGAGGAAGGUAGAAUUCCCGGUGUAGCGGUGAAAUGCGUAGAGAUCGGGAGGAAUACCAGUGGCGAAGGCGGCCUUCUGGACUGACACUGACACUGAGGUGCGAAAGCGU
rnacentral:rRNA from 1 species